rfam:Parcubacteria (Adlerbacteria) bacterium GW2011_GWC1_50_9 TY61_C0034, whole genome shotgun sequence.
GCGCCCAUAGCUCAAUGGUAGAGCAACCGUCUUAUACACGGUUAAUCCAGGUUCGAUCCCUGGUGGGCGUA